rnacentral:rRNA from 1 species
AGCGAACGCUGGCGGCAGGCCUAACACAUGCAAGUCGAGCGCCCGUAGCAAUACGGGAGCGGCAGACGGGAGAGUAACACGUGGGAACGCGCCCUUCGGUUCGGAAUAACUCAGGGAAACUUGAGCUAAUACCGGAUACGCCCUUACGGGGAAAGAUUUAUUGCCGAAGGAACGGCCCGCGUCCGAUUAGCUAGUUGGCGGGGUAAUGGCCCACCAAGGCGAUGAUCGGUAGCUGGUCUGAGAGGAUGAUCAGCCACACUGGGACUGAGACACGGCCCAGACUCCUACAGGAGGCAGCAGUGGGGAAUUUUGGACAAUGGGGGCAACCCUGAUCCAGCCAUUCCGCGUGAGUGAUGAAGGCCUUCGGGUCGUAAAGCUCUGUCAGAGGGGAAGAACCGCCGGGUGGCUAAUACCUGCCUGGUCUGACGGUACCCUCAAAGGAAGCACCGGCUAACUCCGUGCCAGCAGCCGCGGUAAUACGGAGGGUGCAAGCGUUGUUCGGAAUUAUUGGGCGUAAAGAGCGUGUAGGCGGUUUGUUAAGUCUGAUGUGAAAGCCCUGGGCUCAACCCAGGAAGUGCAUUGGAAACUGGCAGACUUGAAUACGGGAGAGGGCAGUGGAAUUCCUAGUGUAGGAGUGAAAUCCGUAGAUAUUAGGAGGAACACCGGUGGCGAA